GAUGAAGAACGCAGCAAAAUGCGAUAAGUAAUGUGAAUUGCAGAAUUCAGUGAAUCAUCGAGUUUUUGAACGCAUAUUGCGCCCUCUGGUAUUCCGGGGGGCAUGCCUGUUCGAGCGUCAUUAAAUAACCCUCAAGCAUAGCUUGGUGUUGGGCUUUUUUACGUCCUUGACUGGGAUGGGCCUAAAAAUUAGUGGCGAUGGCUUUUUUACUUUCAAGCGUAGUAAAUCUCGUCUUGCUAAAGAGGAAAAAGAUUUUUUUUCUGCCAAAAAUUUUAACAUUUAAAGUUGACCUCGGAUCAGGUAGGAUUACCCGCUGAACUUAAGCAUAUCAAUAAGCGGAGGA
rnacentral:misc_RNA from 1 species